CUCGACAAAGGCAAAACUGGCGAAAGCCAGUGACGCAAAGCUACAGGGGCCUUACUUCUCCUGAAAGGGACAAGCAGCCAGCCAGCCGCCGAAC
rfam:Paenibacillus pectinilyticus strain KCTC13222 scaffold4, whole genome shotgun sequence.